rnacentral:tRNA from 1 species
GCCUGGGUGGCCCAGUGGGUUAAGCGUCAGACUUCAGCUCAGGUCAUAAUCUCAAUGGUUCGUGGGUUCGAGCCCCACAUCGGGCU